AAAUAAACGAUUAGUCACAGAUAGUAGGUUAUGAUGAUUUAA
rnacentral:guide_RNA from 1 species